AUAUUCGAUAUGUGAACGGUU
rnacentral:miRNA from 1 species